AUUGAACGCUGGCGGCAUGCCUUACACAUGCAAGUCGAACGGUAACAGGUCUUCUGCUGCUGACGAGUGGCGCACGGGUGUGUAAUACAUCGGAACGUGCCCGAUCGUGGGGGAUAACGCGGCGAAAGCUUUGCUAAUACAGCACACGAUCUACGGAUGAGAACGGGGGAUAUUCUGGCAUCGCGCGGUCGGAGCGGCCGCUGGCAGAUUAGGUAGUUGGUGGGGUAAAAGCUUACCAAGACGACGAUCUGUAGCUGGUCUGAGAGGAUGAUCAGCCACACUGGGACUGAGACACGGCCCAGACUCCUACGGGAGGCAGCAGUGGGGAAUGUUGGACAAUGGGCGAAAGCCUGAUCCAGCCAUGCCGCGUGUAGGAUGAAGGCCUUCGGGUUGUAAACUGCUUUUGUACGGAACGAAAAGCCUCUUGCUAAUAAAGAGGGGUCAUGACGGUACCGUAAGAAUAAGCACCGGCUAACUACGUG
rnacentral:rRNA from 1 species